UACGUAGGGUGCAAGCGUUGUCCGGAAUCACUGGGCGUAAAGGGUGCGUAGGCGGGUCUUUAAGUCAGGGGUGAAAUCCUGGAGCUCAACUCCAGAACUGCCUUUGAUACUGAAGAUCUUGAGUCCGGGAGAGGUGAGUGGAACUGCGAGUGUAGAGGUGAAAUUCGUAGAUAUUCGCAAGAACACCAGUGGCGAAGGCGGCUCACUGGCCCGGUACUGACGCUGAGGCACGAAAGCGUGGGGAGCAAACAGG
rnacentral:rRNA from 1 species